GCCCACGAUCACAAAUCCGCAUGAAUACAUCCCGGUCUUGUCAGAUCUCAAAAGCUACACAGGGUUGAGCCUGGUUAGUACUUGUACGGGAGACUGCCUGUGCAUGCCAGGUGUGGUAGGUA
rnacentral:rRNA from 1 species